GAUGAACGCUAGCUACAGGCUUAACACAUGCAAGUCGAGGGGCAGCAUUUCAGUUUGCUUGCAAACUGGAGAUGGCGACCGGCGCACGGGUGAGUAACACGUAUCCAACCUGCCGAUAACUCGGGGAUAGCCUUUCGAAAGAAAGAUUAAUACCCGAUGGUAUAAUCAGACCGCAUGGUCUUGUUAUUAAAGAAUUUCGGUUAUCGAUGGGGAUGCGUUCCAUUAGGCAGUUGGUGAGGUAACGGCUCACCAAACCUUCGAUGGAUAGGGGUUCUGAGAGGAAGGUCCCCCACAUUGGAACUGAGACACGGUCCAAACUCCUACGGGAGGCAGCAGUGAGGAAUAUUGGUCAAUGGGCGCAGGCCUGAACCAGCCAAGUAGCGUGAAGGAUGACUGCCCUAUGGGUUGUAAACUUCUUUUAUAUGGGAAUAAAGUUUUCCACGUGUGGAAUUUUGUAUGUACCAUAUGAAUAAGGAUCGGCUAACUCCGUGCCAGCAGCCGCGGUAAUACGGAGGAUCCGAGCGUUAUCCGGAUUUAUUGGGUUUAAAGGGAGCGUAGGUGGACAGUUAAGUCAGUUGUGAAAGUUUGCGGCUCAACCGUAAAAUUGCAGUUGAUACUGGCUGUCUUGAGUACAGUAGAGGUGGGCGGAAUUCGUGGUGUAGCGGUGAAAUGCUUAGAUAUCACGAAGAACUCCGAUUGCGAAGGCAGCUCACUGGACUGCAACUGACACUGAUGCUCGAAAGUGUGGGUAUCAAACAGGAUUAGAUACCCUGGUAGUCCACACAGUAAACGAUGAAUACUCGCUGUUUGCGAUAUACAGUAAGCGGCCAAGCGAAAGCAUUAAGUAUUCCACCUGGGGAGUACGCCGGCAACGGUGAAACUCAAAGGAAUUGACGGGGGCCCGCACAAGCGGAGGAACAUGUGGUUUAAUUCGAUGAUACGCGAGGAACCUUACCCGGGCUUAAAUUGCAUUUGAAUAUAUUGGAAACAGUAUAGCCGUAAGGCAAAUGUGAAGGUGCUGCAUGGUUGUCGUCAGCUCGUGCCGUGAGGUGUCGGCUUAAGUGCCAUAACGAGCGCAACCCUUAUCUUUAGUUACUAACAGGUCAUGCUGAGGACUCUAGAGAGACUGCCGUCGUAAGAUGUGAGGAAGGUGGGGAGGACGUCAAAUCAGCACGGCCCUUACGUCCGGGGCUACACACGUGUUACAAUGGGGGGUACAGAAGGCAGCUACCUGGUGACAGGAUGCUAAUCCCAAAAGCCUCUCUCAGUUCGGAUCGAAGUCUGCAACCCGACUUCGUGAAGCUGGAUUCGCUAGUAAUCGCGCAUCAGCCAUGGCGCGGUGAAUACGUUCCCGGGCCU
rnacentral:rRNA from 1 species